AGUCUUAUAGUUUAUUUAGAAUAUUAAAUUGCAAAUUUAAAGGUGGGAUGCCCUAAGGCUU
rnacentral:tRNA from 1 species